rnacentral:rRNA from 1 species
GACGAACGCUGGCGGCGUGCCUAAUACAUGCAAGUUGAGCGCUGAAGGUUGGUACUUGUACCGCCUGGAUGAGCAGCGAACGGGUGAGUAACACGUGGGGAAUCUGCCUUUGAGCGGGGGACAACAUCUGGAAACGAAUGCUAAUACCGCAUAAAAACUUUAAACACAAGUUUUAAGUUUGAAAGAUGCAAUUGCAUCACUCAAAGAUGAUCUCGCGUUGUAUUAGCUAGUUGGUGAGGUAAAGGCUCACCAAGGCGAUGAUACAUAGCCGACCUGAGAGGGUGAUCGGCCACAUUGGGACUGAGACACGGCCCAAACUCCUACGGGAGGCAGCAGUAGGGAAUCUUCGGCAAUGGACGAAAGUCUGAACGAGCAACGCCGCGGGAGUGAAGAAGGGUUUCGGAUCGUAAAACUCUGUUGGUAGAGAAGAAAGUUGGUGAGAGUGGAAAGCUCAUCAAGUGACGGUAACUACCCAGAAAGGGACGGCUAACUACGUG